rnacentral:pre_miRNA from 7 species
UUUCGGGGUUCCUGGGUGUCACUCAGAUCUCGGUGGGAUCUCCAAAUGAAAGAAUCUAGUGGGGAAACCCCAACUCAACUCCAGAUUCGGCGUGCACCCAAGAAUCAUGAACAGACAA